rnacentral:snoRNA from 1 species
AACAACGAUGAUGAGUAAUUUUUUACAGUUACAGACCUGUAAUGAUUUGCCGAAAAUGAUCGCAAAAAAUUGAACAUCUAAGGGACUGAGUUUGUU